GGCCUUUUGAGUUUAAUUUAAGGUCUAGCCUGCCCACUGAAUUUUAAAUGGCUGCGGUAUCCUGACCGUGCUAAGGUAGCAUAAUCAUUAGUUUUUUAAUUGAAAGCUGGAAUGAAUGGUUGGAUGAGAAAAUAACUGUCUCUUUGAAGAUAAUUAGAAUUUUAUUUUUAAGUAAAAAAGCUUAAAUAUUAUUAAAAGACGAGAAGACCCUAUAGAGUUUUAUGAAGUUUUUACUUGUAGUUUUUGGUAAUCAAACCUUUAAUUAAAGGCUUUUUUUGGUUGGGGCGACUGAAAAAUUAAUUAAACUUUUUUUUUCUUUUAUCACUGAUUUGUGAAUUAUUGAUCCUUAUUUAACGAUUAAAAGAUAAAAUUACCUUAGGGAUAACAGCGUAAUUUUCUUUGAGAGUUCUAAUCGAUAGGAAAGGUUGCGACCUCGAUGUUGGAUUAAAAUUAAUGUUUGGUGUAGAAGCUGAAUUAUUAGGUCUGUUCGACCUUUAAAAUUU
rnacentral:rRNA from 1 species